rnacentral:rRNA from 1 species
AGAGUUUGAUCAUGGCUCAGAUUGAACGCUGGCGGCAGGCCUAACACAUGCAAGUCGAGCGGAAACGGCAGUAUUGAAGCUUCGGUGGAUUUACUGGACGUCGAGCGGCGGACGGGUGAGUAACGGCUGGGAACCUGCCCUGACGAGGGGGAUAACCGUUGGAAACGACGGCUAAUACCGCAUAAUGUCUACGGACCAAAGGUGGCCUCUACAUGUAAGCUAUCGCGUUGGGAUGGGCCCAGUUAGGAUUAGCUAGUUGGUAAGGUAACGGCUUACCAAGGCGACGAUCCUUAGCUGGUUUGAGAGGAUGAUCAGCCACACUGGGACUGAGACACGGCCCAGACUCCUACGGGAGGCAGCAGUGGGGAAUAUUGCACAAUGGGGGAGACCCUGAUGCAGCCAUGCCGCGUGUGUGAAGAAGGCCUUCGGGUUGUAAAGCACUUUCAGCAGUGAGGAAGGUAGUGUACUUAAUACGUGCAUUGCUUGACGUUAGCUGCAGAAGAAGCACCGGCUAACUCCGUGCCAGCAGCCGCGGUAAUACGGAGGGUGCGAGCGUUAAUCGGAAUUACUGGGCGUAAAGCGCAUGCAGGCGGUUUGUUAAGUCAGAUGUGAAAGCCCGGGGCUCAACCUCGGAACCGCAUUUGAAACUGGCAGGCUAGAGUCUUGUAGAGGGGGGUAGAAUUUCAGGUGUAGCGGUGAAAUGCGUAGAGAUCUGAAGGAAUACCAGUGGCGAAGGCGGCCCCCUGGACAAAGACUGACGCUCAGAUGCGAAAGCGUGGGUAGCAAACAGGAUUAGAUACCCUGGUAGUCCACGCCGUAAACGAUGUCUACUUGGAGGCUGAGGUUUAAGACUUUGGCUUUCGGAGCUAACGCAUUAAGUAGACCGCCUGGGGAGUACGGCCGCAAGGUUAAAACUCAAAUGAAUUGACGGGGGCCCGCACAAGCGGUGGAGCAUGUGGUUUAAUUCGAUGCAACGCGAAGAACCUUACCUACUCUUGACAUCCAG